CGGGACACGUGGUAUCCUGUCUGAAUAUGGGGGGACCAUCCUCCAAGGCUAAAUACUCCUGACUGACCGAUAGUGAACCAGUACCGUGAGGGAAAGGCGAAAAGAACCCCGGCGAGGGGAGUGAAAAAGAACCUGAAACCGUGUACGUACAAGCAGUGGGAGCCUCUUUAUGGGGUGACUGCGUACCUUUUGUAUAAUGGGUCAGCGACUUAUAUUCUGUAGCAAGGUUAACCGAAUAGGGGAGCCGAAGGGAAACCGAGUCUUAACUGGGCGUUAAGUUGCAGGGUAUAGACCCGAAACCCGGUGAUCUAGCCAUGGGCAGGUUGAAGGUUGGGUAACACUAACUGGAGGACCGAACCGACUAAUGUUGAAAAAUUAGCGGAUGACUUGUGGCUGGGGGUGAAAGGCCAAUCAAACCGGGAGAUAGCUGGUUCUCCCCGAAAGCUAUUUAGGUAGCGCCUCGUGAAUUCAUCUCCGGGGGUAGAGCACUGUUUCGGCAAGGGGGUCAUCCCGACUUACCAACCCGAUGCAAACUGCGAAUACCGGAGAAUGUUAUCACGGGAGACACACGGCGGGUGCUAACGUCCGUCGUGAAGAGGGAAACAACCCAGACCGCCAGCUAAGGUCCCAAAGUCAUGGUUAAGUGGGAAACGAUGUGGGAAGGCCCAGACAGCCAGGAUGUUGGCUUAGAAGCAGCCAUCAUUUAAAGAAAGCGUAAUAGCUCACUGGUCGAGUCGGCCUGCGCGGAAGAUGUAACGGGGCUAAACCAUGCACCGAAGCUGCGGCAGCGACACUAUGUGUUGUUGGGUAGGGGAGCGUUCUGUAAGCCUGCGAAGGUGUGCUGUGAGGCAUGCUGGAGGUAUCAGAAGUGCGAAUGCUGACAUAAGUAACGAUAAAGCGGGUGAAAAGCCCGCUCGCCGGAAGACCAAGGGUUCCUGUCCAACGUUAAUCGGGGCAGGGUGAGUCGACCCCUAAGGCGAGGCCGAAAGGCGUAGUCGAUGGGAAACAGGUUAAUAUUCCUGUACUUGGUGUUACUGCGAAGGGGGGACGGAGAAGGCUAUGUUGGCCGGGCGACGGUUGUCCCGGUUUAAGCGUGUAGGCUGGUUUUCCAGGCAAAUCCGGAAAAUCAAGGCUGAGGCGUGAUGACGAGGCACUACGGUGCUGAAGCAACAAAUGCCCUGCUUCCAGGAAAAGCCUCUAAGCAUCAGGUAACAUCAAAUCGUACCCCAAACCGACACAGGUGGUCAGGUAGAGAAUACCAAGGCGCUUGAGAGAACUCGGGUGAAGGAACUAGGCAAAAUGGUGCCGUAACU
rnacentral:rRNA from 1 species